rnacentral:rRNA from 1 species
GAUGAACGCUGGCGGCGUGCCUAAUACAUGCAAGUCGAGCGAACGGACGAGAAGCUUGCUUCUCUGAUGUUAGCGGCGGACGGGUGAGUAACACGUGGAUAACCUACCUAUAAGACUGGGAUAACUUCGGGAAACCGGAGCUAAUACCGGAUAAUAUUUUGAACCGCAUGGUUCAAAAGUGAAAGACGGUCUUGCUGUCACUUAUAGAUGGAUCCGCGCUGCAUUAGCUAGUUGGUAAGGUAACGGCUUACCAAGGCAACGAUGCAUAGCCGACCUGAGAGGUUGAUCGGCCACACUGGAACUGAGACACGGUCCAGACUCCUACGGGAGGCAGCAGUAGGGAAUCUUCCGCAAUGGGCGAAAGCCUGACGGAGCAACGCCGCGUGAGUGAUGAAGGUCUUCGGAUCGUAAAACUCUGUUAUUAGGGAAGAACAUAUGUGUAAGUAACUGUGCACAUCUUGACGUUACCUAAUCAGAAAGCCACGGCUAACUACGUG